GAUGAACGCUGGCGGCGUGCCUAAUACAUGCAAGUCGAGCGAACGGACGAGAAGCUUGCUUCUCUGAUGUUAGCGGCGGACGGGUGAGUAACACGUGGAUAACCUACCUAUAAGACUGGGAUAACUUCGGGAAACCGGAGCUAAUACCGGAUGAUAUUUUGAACCGCAUGGUUCAAAAGUGAAAGACGGUCUUGCUGUCACUUAUAGAUGGAUCCGCGCUGCAUUAGCUAGUUGGUAAGGUAACGGCUUACCAAGGCAACGAUGCAUAGCCGACCUGAGAGGUGGGUCGGCCCCACUGGACCUGGGCACCGGCCCAACCUCCUAGGGGGGGCGGAGGGGGGGAAUCUUCCGCAAGGGGCGAAAACCUACCGGGCAACCCCCGGGGGGGGAAGGAGGUUCUUCGGAUCGAAAAACUUUUUUAUUGGGAAAAAAAAAAUGUGUAAAUAACGGUGCCAAUUUGAGCGGUACCAAAUAAGAAAGCCCCGGCAACCUCCGG
rnacentral:rRNA from 1 species